rnacentral:rRNA from 1 species
CAAGUCGAACGGUAACAUUGGUGCUUGCACCAGAUGACGAGUGGCGCACGGGUGCGUAACGCGUAUGCAAUCUACCUUUUACUAGAGUAUAGCCCAGAGAAAUUUGGAUUAAUCCUCUAUAAUAUCUUUAAGUUUCAUGACUUUUAGAUUAAAGUUUUAACGGUAAAAGAUGAGCAUGCGUCCUAUUAGUUUGUAGGUGAGGUAACGGCUCACCUAGACUACGAUAGGUAGGGGCCCUGAGAGGGGGAUCCCCCACACUGGUACUGAGACACGGACCAGACUCCUACGGGAGGCAGCAGUAAGGAAUAUUGGACAAUGGACGAAAGUCUGAUCCAGCCAUGCCGCGUGCAGGAUGAAAGCCCUAUGGGUUGUAAACUGCUUUUAUACAGGAAGAAACACUCGUACGUGUACGAGCUUGACGGUACUGUAAGAAUAAGGACCGGCUAACUCCGUGCCAGCAGCCGCGGUAAUACGGAGGGUCCGAGCGUUAUCCGGAAUCAUUGGGUUUAAAGGGUCCGCAGGCGGUCUUUUAAGUCAGAGGUGAAAGCCUACAGCUCAACUGUAGAACGGCCUUUGAUACUGAAAGACUUGAGUUAUUAUGAAGUGGUUAGAAUGUGUGGGUGUAGCGGUGAAAUGCAUAGAUAUCACAC